rnacentral:rRNA from 1 species
CCCUAAACUCUGUUUCUAUAUGUAACUUCUGAGUAAAACCAUAAAUAAAUCAAAACUUUCAACAACGGAUCUCUUGGUUCUGGCAUCGAUGAAGAACGCAGCAAAAUGCGAUAAGUAAUGUGAAUUGCAGAAUUCAGUGAAUCAUCGAAUCUUUGAACGCACAUUGCGCCCGCCAGUAUUCUGGCGGGCAUGCCUGUUCGAGCGUCAUUUCAACCCUCAAGCCCCCGGGUUUGGUGUUGGGGAUCGGCGAGCCCUUGCGGCAAGCCGGCCCCGAAAUCUAGUGGCGGUCUCGCUGCAGCUUCCAUUGCGUAGUAGUAAAACCCUCGCAACUGGUACGCGGCGCGGCCAAGCCGUUAAACCCCCAACUUCUGAAUGUUGACCUCGGAUCAGGUAGGAAUACCCGCUGAACUUAAGCAUAUCAAUAAGGCGGAGGAAG